GGAGAGGAGUGUUAAUCAGAGUUACUUUGAUUGCUUUCAAUGUCUCUGCCUGUUACACACACACACACACACACACACUAUCGCCUUUUCUCUGGAAGCCUCUGUGACUGCCCACCCUGAUAUCAACCCCCCCGCAACACAUUUUCUAUCAGCCUCCCUUGAAGAAGCUCCCCCGUCCCCACGGGAGAAAAUGGCAGGUGGGGUAGGAGCCUCGUCCGCAUUCCCGGUUUCCCAGAACACACGCUCAGCCUCCGCCUGGGAACCAUCCCUGCUUAUGCUGUUUUCACCCUCCUCCAAGUAGUUGCUGGAGCUUACCAACCACACAGUGGGUCCAACUGUCUCCUUCCUGCUUCCUCCUUCCCCUUCUCCUAUCUCCUUACUCAUUUUGUCCUUCCCUCUCCUCUCUUUUGUCUUUUUUCCCCACCUUCCCCUCCAGCCACCCUGCUUUCCUCCAUUCAUUCAACCCACAUUUCCAGAGCGCCUCAGGCACCUCCCUCCAGGGGCUUCCACGAAAGACGACGAGAUAAGCCGCCACCUCCUCCGGAGUCUCCCCAGAAUGAGAAAACGGAGCUUUUCCCCAUUUCCUCAACGUUUCUCACCCACAUCCAGGUCUGCGAUGCUGCUGAAAGGAGCGCCGAUCAGAACCCUGGAGGCUAACCUACCAUCAUACCCAGCCCUGGGAUGCCUCCCCAGGAUGUCUUCCGGAACCACCCAGAGGAUGGAAUCGCCAUCACCUCCUGUGAAGUCUCUGGAACUACAAGACCGCAGGACCCACGCUUACUUUGUGCCUGCAGUCUCCCCUGUACCUGGCACACAGUAGGUGCUCCCAACAUGAUGACGGAUAACCGAACGAGGAAUGCUGUACUGACCCUCUUCAUUCCCCAACGGGCUCGUUUGG